GCCCACGAUUUAAAUUUCGCGGCAUUUUGUAUUCGAUUAUUAGUAUUAUCGGAUUGUGGAAAAUAUGCGGAAGCAACACAAGUAAUCAGAAGCUAUCAAGAUAAAUAUCCGCAUAUGCGUAUACCAAAAAGUGUGGCGAAUAGAAUGAGAGAAAAUUUAAACAAAUACGACCAAACUGUAGAUGCGAAUAACUUUUAUAACUUACUGAACGAUUUAAAAUCGAGCCACAAAAAUUACUAUUGACGAAAUGCUUUGUCGGCCCAUUGCUUUGAUUCCGAAGAAAAAUGUCAAAACAAAUAGAAUCGGAUUAAUUUUUAAAUAAAGAGGAAAAAGUUUUUGUUUGAAAUGUUAUUUCUUCUCAAUCGUCCAUAUUUGGUCAAGCAAAUAAAAACACAUCUAGUACUUUGAAA